rnacentral:rRNA from 1 species
UACGAAGGGGCUAGCGUUGUUCGGAAUUACUGGGCGUAAAGCGCACGUAGGCGGAUUGUUAAGUCGGGGUGAAAUCCUGAGGCUCAACCUCAGAACUGCCUUCGAUACUGGCGAUCUUGAGUUCGGAAGAGGUUGGUGGAACAGCUAGUGUAGAGGUGAAAUUCGUAGAUAUUAGCUAGAAUCACCAGUGGCGAAGGCGGCUUACUGGUCCGGAACUGACGCUGAGGUGCGAAAGCGUGGGGAGCAAACAGGG